rnacentral:rRNA from 1 species
UGGGGAAUAUUGCACAAUGGGCGCAAGCCUGAUGCAGCCAUGCCGCGUGUAUGAAGAAGGCCUUCGGGUUGUAAAGUACUUUCAGUCGGGAGGAAGGUGUCAAGGUUAAUAACCUUGGCAAUUGACGUUACCGACAGAAGAAGCACCGGCUAACUCCGUGCCAGCAGCCGCGGUAAUACGGAGGGUGCAAGCGUUAAUCGGAAUUACUGGGCGUAAAGCGCACGCAGGCGGUUGAUUGAGUCAGAUGUGAAAUCCCCGGGCUUAACCCGGGAAUUGCAUCUGAUACUGGUCAGCUAGAGUCGUGUAGAGGGGGGUAGAAUUCCAUGUGUAGCGGUGAAAUGCGUAGAGAUGUGGAGGAAUACCGGUGGCGAAGGCGGCCCCCUGGACAAAGACUGACGCUCAGGUGCGAAAGCGUGGGGAGCAAACAGG